GUGGAGACUGGAGGGGGUCUACCUGAGGAAAGCAACGGAAAGGGUGCUUCCGAACUUUGGGUCUGUGCGCUGGGGGGUGGGGAGAGAGAGCAAAGGAGAAGAGGUAGGGGUGCGGGUUUAGGUGUAGCGGCGAGGGAGAAAGAGUCGGUUUAGGUGUAGGGGCGGCACUAGUAACGGCUUUGCUCUGUCCUCCCACCUCCGCUCCCUCUCUCCCCUCCGACCUACUCCCCCUGCACAAGGCGCCGCCGCCACCGACCUCCCGUCUCGAGCCUGCUCCCGUCACACUGGUACCACCGGCGUCCCGUUCCCUCUCUCCCCUCCGGCCUGCUCCCGCCGCACCGGCGUCACCGACCAACCCACCGAGGGGGCGAGAGCACGUUGGUGUACAGGCUGCGGUACUCUCCCAGGUCCGACGAGGCGCUCCAAGAAGAGGUCACUGCUACGCUGUGUCAAGCCCUCAGUUGUUCCAGGAGAGUGCGGGGAGAAGAUGAGGGGAACCAAUCUAAGGUAAGCUAAACCUACAACGCAACGAUAAUCAGUGCGCCCAGGCUAAACAAAAGAGUGUGUCCAGUAGCAGAAGCAGUUCCGGAUCUCGAUCGACGCUGGUUCGUGCCUAGUUGAUGGAGAUCUAGCAGGAGGUGGUGCGAACGCGCCGACUACCCGUUCGUGCCGCCGGAACUGGUUCCUCUUGAACUCUACAUUGUAUGUUCACCACCAGUAUCUAGUCUUUCCGUUCAAGAAGUUUCCUUCAACACCGCCCGGUGUUUGACUUACCUAUCGAUUUACUUAUUCUGCCGGCCUGAUACACUGUACCCGACCUGACAACCCGAUACUUCUAUGUUCUGUCUUCUGAAGCAGAGCACAGGCCUACCCUGAGAGGAACCGCACUUUCCGUUCGAACCGCAAACCUAUACAUAUAAGGAAAAGAGACAUUGAUUGAAACAUAUUGGGAUCAGGGGAGGCCACAGAUAUAUUUGGCCUCCCAAAUCAGGUGUUCCGUCUUAGUAUUAGUGUAUCCGAUCUGAAGAUCCCAAAAUAGGUAAUGCUAGAGCACCAUCUAGUUGAGAACAUUAUGAGUGUAAGUAGUUCUAGUUAGUUCGUCUUUCAUCCCAUAAUGGAGGUAUCUCUCCCGGGCUUGGACCCAU
rnacentral:rRNA from 1 species